rnacentral:rRNA from 1 species
AGCGAACGCUGGCGGCAGGCUUAACACAUGCCAGUCGAGCGGGCACUUUCGGGUGUCAGCGGCGGACGGGUGCGUAACGCGUGGGAACGUGCCCUCUGGUUCGGAAUAACUCAGGGAAACUUGAGCUAAUACCGGAUACGCCCUUUUGGGGAAAGGCUUGCUGCCGGAGGAUCGGCCCGCGUCUGAUUAGCUAGUUGGUGAGGUAACGGCUCACCAAGGCGACGAUCAGUAGCUGGUCUGAGAGGAUGAUCAGCCACACUGGGACUGAGACACGGCCCAGACUCCUACGGGAGGCAGCAGUGGGGAAUAUUGGACAAUGGGCGCAAGCCUGAUCCAGCCAUGCCGCGUGAGUGAUGAAGGCCUUAGGGUUGUAAAGCUCUUUUAUCCGGGACGAUAAUGACGGUACCGGAGGAAUAAGCCCCGGCUAACUUCGUG